rnacentral:rRNA from 1 species
GACGUAGGGUGCGAGCGUUGUCCGGAUUUAUUGGGCGUAAAGAGCUCGUAGGCGGCUCGUCGCGUCGACCGUGAAAACCUGGGGCUUAACCCUAGGCUUGCGGUUGAUACGGGCGGGCUAGAGUCCGGUAGGGGAGACUGGAAUUCCUGGUGUAGCGGUGAAAUGCGCAGAUAUCAGGAGGAACACCGGUGGCGAGGGCGGGUCUCUGGGCCGAUACUGACGCUGAGGAGCGAAAGCGUGGGGAGCGAACAGG